rnacentral:lncRNA from 1 species
AUUUGUUGAUGGCAACUCUUCUUUUUUCAUCUUCUCAGUCUACCCUCUUGCCUUGUGUAUUGAAGAUAAUGAGGCCAUUCUCAGAACAGGCCACUGCCUUUUUGCUACCAUUAUUACAUGUGCUGCCAUUUGUGUACUAAGAGGUCCAGAUGCUUGUGACAGCUUGAUUUCCUGGAGCAACCUACAAGGACACUGCAAGAAAGGCAAAAUGCUUUAGCUUCAGUGACAUGGAGGGGGAAAUAUUCUGCAAUGUGACAGUAGCAAUGCUACAAUUUCGUAACACUUUCAUCUCAAAUGUUUGCUUUUCUUUAGCUUCUGACAGCCUUAAGCAUCACCCUUUCAGCUAAAUUUCUUCUCCAGGCUGGAGAGAUUUAUACUUGUAUACAUUUAAACUGACUGUUUUCUAUCAGUUGUUUUAUCUGUUUGUUUAUGUUACUCCCCCCCACACACAGUUAAAGAGGAUAAGAUGACUGUUAUUGACUAUGCCAAUGUUUCUCAAACUUCGAUCGCCAGCUGUUGUUGGACUACAACUCCCAUCAUCCCUGACCAUUGGUCCUGCUAGCUAGGGAUGAUGGGAGUUGUUGUCAAACAACGGCUGGAGAUCCAUGUAUGAGAAACACUGGGCUAGCUAUAUCAUUAAAUGCUGCAUGUGUGUAUUGUAAAUCAGGAAUGGAAAACUGUGAGCCUCUAGGUGCUGCUGGUCUAUAGUUUCUUUGAUCCCUGACCAUUGGGCCAUACCGGCUGGGGCUGAUGACCAGGGCUGAGUCCAACAAGAACUGGAGGGUGGCAGCUUGGCCAUCCCUGUCUUAAACCAUGAUUCUUAAAGUUUAAGGAAGAUCUCUAUAUACAAAACUGCAAGCACUAAUUAGGAGAACUCUGAAUUCUUCUUGAACUCCAAACCUCAAUUUAGGUGUCUUGUUUGGAUGAAAACGUGGGCGUGCUGCUUCCCCUCUUCCAAAUCAGAGGAACACAAGCAAUUGUCUGGAUAAUAUGUCUUCCUACUUGUGCUGAUUAGGAGUGCUUGGAAUUCAAGACAACAAAUGCUUCCCUCCCCUAUAGGAUUUCCUCUGCAGUUUCAUUCUCUGGACGUCCACAUGGAGUUGCAGUGCAAUGACAGUUAGAAAAAAGGACCAGUGAGUACUAUCAACUUUUCCCCAUAAUAAUGCACGUCAUCUGUCUGAGAAUAAAGCAACUAAGGGGGAAGUAUGUCUAGUUAUUCUUUUCUGUGAAUUGCCAGGUUGGGCAGGGCAUGAAAGAGUUCACAGACUCAUCAGGAUUUUUGUUCCUCUGGAUUUAAAGGUUUUGUGACAUGUAGCUCAGGAUGGAUAAUUGUGUUGAUUUUGUUUUGUCUCAGAUUCUAAUUUUCCCAGUCUUAGGUUUCGUUUUCCACAUUUCUGCACCAGUCCUCCUGAAGAUAUAUUAGCAUUUUAGUAAAAUUUCUCCUAUUAUCACGGCUGGCUCACUCAUGAGGUGAGGUAAGGCAGUGGCCUCAGGGUCCAGACUUCGGGGGUGGGGGGAGGCAGCUUCUGAGAAGUGUGCUGCUUACUACCGCCUGCAUUUGUCAACCUCCUCUGUAUAUCCUGCAUGCCCUGAUGGGCAGAGUGGCAUUUUCUAUAUUGCUUCUAGUGGCAAAAUGUCCUGGGGCUGCCUACCAAUAAUGCAUGUCUUUGUAUGCAAUAUUGCCGGAUAUACCGAUUUUUGCAAGCCAUAUCCCCUAAUAAAAUGUAUUUAAGAUUC